AUUGAACGCUGGCGGCAUGCCUUACACAUGCAAGUCGAACGGCAGCGCGGGGCAACCUGGCGGCGAGUGGCGAACGGGUGAGUAAUAUAUCGGAACAUACCCUAGAGUGGGGAUAACGUAGCGAAAGUUACGCUAAUACCGCAUACGCACUAAGGUGGAAAGUGGGGGAUUCGCAAGAACCUCAUGCUCAUGGAGUGGCCGAUAUCUGAUUAGCUAGUUGGUGAGGUAAAGGCUCACCAAGGCAACGAUCAGUAGCUGGUUUGAGAGAACGACCAGCCACACUGGAACUGAGACACGGUCCAGACUCCUACGGGAGGCAGCAGUGGGGAAUUUUGGACAAUGGGGGCAACCCUGAUCCAGCAAUGCCGCGUGAGUGAAGAAGGCCUUCGGGUUGUAAA
rnacentral:rRNA from 1 species